CUGAAGGAACGUUGAAGACGACGACGUUGAUAGGCCGGAUGUGUAAGCGCAGCGAUGCGUUGAGCUAACCGGUACUAAUGAACCGUGAGGCUUAACCUUACAACGCCGAAGGUGUUU
rnacentral:rRNA from 1 species